AAGGUGAAAUCAUGAAGCUUAAAAUUGAACAUUUACUUGAAGAGUAUGUUCCUACUGCAUCAAUUGCACAAAGGUAUGUCAUGUUUUGCGUCUAAUUUCAUCUUCUUUCCCUGUUUCCUUUAUUCUUUUUAGUGUUUAAAUCAUUUGAAUGUUUGAUUUUAUUUUAAUUACAUUUUGUAUAUUUUGAUUCUCUUAAAACCACUGUUGCAUUGUAUGUUCCUAGUUUUGAUUUUUGUUCCUCCUUUUGCUUUGCAUGUUCAAAGAUUUUAUUUUUUUAAAGCCAUUCUGAUUUAAUUUCUUGUUUGAGGUGUAAUUUUUUUGAUAUUUACAUAUAAUAUGUGUUCGGUAUGCUUAAUGUUGACAAUUUUGAAUAUCCUGAUGUUUUCAUGUCAGUUGAGAUAGUUGAAUUUGAGGUAUGGAAUAAAAAUAGAAGCAGGUAAAUAGAAAUAUUGUGAUUUGCUUUGUCAUUUUUAGGUUACUAUUGUUAUUGUUUUUGAAAAAUUGAGGAAGAUCCGUCAAAUCUAACAACAUUGUGAUCAAACAGUAUGUUUGUGUACUAAAUUUAGAAUCUAAUUAGUAGUACUUGAAUUCGUUGUUUAAAUUUUAGAACUCAUAAAGUUGAAAUCUCGACUCCAUCCCGAACUCUGAACCCAUAGAAAUUGGCAUAACUGGUGCCAAUAGAAGUCUGUUGUUUAUAGCUCUUCACUGCUUUAGUGUUUGAUGUUUCAUUUGUAAUCUAGUGUGUGUUGUGUAUAGUUAGAUGGAUACAGAUAGGACAAUGUUCAAUUAUACUAAUGCUAAACAAAUUUUGUUCUUGAAUUUGGAAUCUUUUUAAGGUAUGUAUUCAGUGGAUACGAAUCAGAUCAUGUGGGUGGAGCCCUCAAUUAUUGUUAUUGCUAGAUAUGGAUAUUGGUGUUGUUACCUUGAAUUGACUUUAAUUAUUAUUUAUGAAAGUAUUUAAGACGAUGUUAUAUAAUAUUUUAUCCUGUGAGGUUUAAGGGAAAUGUUAUAUGGUGUUAGAGGAGCCUUUUCUGGUAUCAAUGUUUAUUAACUAGGAGAAAGUUUUAUCUAUUUUCUCAUUUCAUGUUAGCUCUUUUUGUGGGUUGUCCCUGUAGUGUCAUUGCUCUUUAAAAGAUUUCUUAUUUGUACAGUCUUACAUGAUGAUAAGAAAAACUAUAAAAAGUCACAAGCUAGGAGACAUCCACCAAACAUACAUCUUUCGCUUAUUUGUAUAACAUCACACGUUGAUAAGAAAAACAAUAAAAAAUCACAAGCUAAGAGACAUUUGCCGAACAUACAACUUUUUGCUUAUUUUUAUAGCAUGAAGUGUUGAUAAGAAAAAUAAUAAAAAGUUACAAGCUAUGAGACAUCUUCCAAACAUUCAACUUUCAAUGUUGAUAAGUUUCUCUGUUAUUUGAUCUCUCGGACUUUGCAAGUGCAUACUCUGUGGGGCUUAUAACAUCCUUGUGGGGAUCAGAUUUAGGAUUGGUUUGUCAUAUGAUGGAAUAAGCUGAUAUUUUUUAUAUCAGAUGUCGAUUGAUGUAGUCAGUAGCAUUUCUACUAUUUUUUAUUUAUACAGUGUUUUGUACUUAAUGAUAGCUAAUUCAAUUGAUUGUCAUUCGCUAUGUAGGAACGAAAAACUAUGAUUCCAUUGGAAGUCCUGGAUUUUGUAAGAACUUUGUAAUCAACAUUUUCCUUUUUGGAGGCUCUUCAUAUCCCUACAAUUGCUGCCAUUGAGGGUAUAGCAUUGGGUGGGGGACUUGAAAUGGCAAUGUCUUGUGAUAUCCGAAUAUGUGUUUGAUGAUGCGUUACUUAGGUGAAGAUGCAGUAUUGGUUUUACCUGAGACAGGACUUGCUAUAAUACCAGGUUGAAUACUUGAAUCGUGAUUCGAACUUUUAUUCAAGUUGCUGCGGAUCAGCUGCCUUCUCCUGAGAUAGAUGCAUUAUCAAAACAGGAUGGCAACAAAGCCAGCAUCAAACAAUGCAAAGCUACCCACCGUGGAGAUGCGCAGACCUGUUAACCAGUCGCAUUCUGCUAGGUAGAAUUGCUUCCAGAGUCACCAUUCCAAUCACAGACUCUUUCGUCUCCCUUCUAUAUUUUCACUUCGUCGGGUUUCCAUGUCAAAGUUGCAUUGAGUUGAAGAAUUUUCAGUUGCAGGUAUAAGUAUUGCUUAUCAUGAGCAGUAGCAUUUCACCUAAUGGGGUGGCUAAACAAAAUUUUCAAAGGUUCUAAUCAUAAAGUUUUGGAAGGACAAUAUGACUGGAUAUGUGAAGGACAUACAUAGGGAGAUGAUCUAUCUACCACAGAGUUAAAAAAAUGGGGAUUGAUAGAGAGAUGGAGUUUGUAAGAAUUUGCUUAAAGAAACAGAGAGUAAGGGGACAAAGGGGAUAUUAGUUUGGAUGUCAAUUUUCAAGCUAUCAGUUAAGAUUUGGCAAGAAUCAGAAGGAAAGACUUAAGUUGUGUGGACCUCGAAGAUAGUAUUAGAACUAGUAUUUUGUUCGUCAUGCAUAAAAGUGUAGCUUAACUUCAUAACUAACAGUCUUAGCUGCUAGCAAGAAUAAAAUCUCUGCACUGAAAGGAUUCCCUUAUUUACCUUCUUCGAGCAAUCUGUUUAUCUUCUUGGACUUCUUCUGCAAUGAAGCAUCUGUUCGCUCGAUCUCCUUCACUUUUUGCAUCAAUUUUGAUAAGAAAUGUGUAGACUUUGCUGAUAAUUAGCAUCAAGUUACGAUAAAAUUAGGAUUCCUCUUUCUGUAUCAAUGAAAAUAAUGUAUUAAUUAGUAAAGGAUAAUGCGUACAAUUCAAAAUAAAACAGAUUAUUUUAGUUCU